rnacentral:lncRNA from 1 species
GUGAGGGCGGUAAGGGCUUGGGGUUGGUUUGGUUGUCGGUGAUUGGAGGGUGACUGGAGUCCUAGUGGACGAGAUUUGAGAAUCUGUGGCGUUGUUGUUGAAUAGUCUUUUGGGAAGGCCGGUGUUCUAAGGGACCAAGGUAUUGGGGUAUUAUGGGCAUAUGGAGUAUUAAGUGCCCGUGAUAUUGGGGGCAUAUGGAGUUGGGGAUUGCUGUAACUUUCGGAAAUCAGUAUUUUGACGGAUCUGUCUAGGUAAGUGAUGCUUGGGAGCGGGGAGGCAUCUGUAAUAGUCACAGUGACUGAGUCUGGGUCUGGAAAGCUAGCAAGAUCUGAAAUGAGGGCUUUGUGAUGUAUUACAGACGGGAAGCCCUACAAGGAUUAGAAUUUGAACUGCUUGGGAGCUGGUGUUUUAGGUAACUGGGGAUUACAGGCUGCACUGUGGGAGGGGCAGUAUUGAGAUUUGGAGAACUGGUUCAUUUGGAAUAUGUGGGGAUUAGAAUUUGAGCCCUUGGGGUCAGUAAUGGUGGCAUUUCUGGAAGUCUAAUAAGCAAUGUCUUUAAGAGUCCUCGUUUUGUGUGCUAUGACUGGCAGUGAGGGGGGAACCUGGAGGCUAAUGAGCAGAUGACAGUUGGUGGAAUACAAGAAGUCUUAUAUUGAAGUGCCUAUUUGGAUGGCAGAUUGUCAUCUAGGGAGAAAGGGUAUCAGUAGUCCUAACUGUCCCUUUAGUGAUGGGGUUCUUGGUAGGAAUUAAUAAUAAUUAUUAUGAUUCUGUGACUAGGACUCUGAGGCCAAGGCUUUGUGAGUUUUCAGGGUUUUAUGAUAGAAGGUUCUGUAAGGUCACUGGAGUUGAGUGGAGGUUAGUGACUGUUCUGUGAAGAAUGGUAAUUGGGAACUUCUAUGUAGAGGAGGUUUAGGAAGGUUAGUGACUGAGGGAUAUUUGAGUGUCAAUGGUUAGAAAAUUGUAAAACAGAGUAUAAGAUGAACACCUAUUUUAUGCCAGAGAAUUUUAAGUAGCAACAUAUAGGGCCAGUCUCUUUUUAAAAAUAAUUUAUUUAAUUUUAUCGUAUGUGCAUUGGUGUGAUGGUGUCGGAUCCCUUGAAACUGGGGUUACAGACUGCCAUGUGGGUGGGAAUUGAACCCAGGUCCUCUGGAAGAGCAGCCAGUGCUCUUAACAACUGAGACAUCUCUUCACCCAACUUCGCUCUCUCUCUCUCCUCUCUCUCUCUCCUCUCUUUCUCUCUCUCUCCCCUCCCCCUUCCCCACCUCCGAGUCUGCCUUUUAAAUUUGAGAAACAGAAAAGAGACAAUAAAAUGUAAAUAUCCGUGUAAGUAAGAUAAUUCCAGGCAAAGGUAACUGCUAUGAAGAAAGUAACAGAGGAUGAUGUGGUAGAGAGUAAAGCUUGGAAGUGUUUGUUUCUCAAGUUAAUCUUUAAAGCAGGGGCUGGUUAAGAGCACUGACUGCUCUUCCAGAGGUCCUGAGUUCAAUUCCCAGCAACCACAUGGUAGCUCACAACUAUCUGUAAUGGGAUCUGAUGCCGUCUUCUGGUGUGUCUGAAGAGAGCAACAGUGUACUCAUAUACAUAAAAUAAAUCAAUCUUUAAACAAAACAAAACAAAACAGAAAUGUAAAUAAAAUUUAAAAAUAAUCUUUAAAGAAAUGGCAGUUGAUUUGAACACAAUGAUAGGCUGUGGUUAAUGCAGAGAUCCAAAAAUAUUCAAAGAAGAAUGUCAAUUGCUAAAGCCUUAAGAUAGACAUUAGCUUCCUGUUAUAG